rnacentral:rRNA from 1 species
GACGAACGCUGGCGGCGUGCUUAACACAUGCAAGUCGAACGGAAAGGCCCUGCUUGCAGGGUACUCGAGUGGCGUACGGGUGAGUAACACGUGGGUGAUCUGCCCUGCACUUCGGGAUAAGCCUGGGAAACUGGGUCUAAUACCGGAUAGGAGCCAUUUUUAGUGUGAUGGUUGGAAAGUUUUUUCGGUGUAGGAUGAGCUCGCGGCCUAUCAGCUUGUUGGUGGGGUAAUGGCCUACCAAGGCGGCGACGGGUAGCCGGCCUGAGAGGGUGGACGGCCACAUUGGGACUGAGAUACGGCCCAGACUCCUACGGGAGGCAGCAGUGGGGAAUAUUGCACAAUGGGCGCAAGCCUGAUGCAGCGACGCCGCGUGGGGGAUGACGGCCUUCGGGUUGUAAACUCCUUUCGCUAGGGACGAAGCUUUUUGUGACGGUACCUAGAUAAGAAGCACCGGCUAACUACGUG